AUGCUCCUCAGGGUGGUGUGGCGCGAGGACGAUGCCGAUGAUGAUGCCGAGCUGGAGCCCGAGCAAAGAGGGGCGAUUAUGCUUCCUUGCUUCCAGCGAGCCACCACGGUCACACUCGAGUUCUCGUUCCUUCGCCUCGUCCUGCCGCCUUCCGGCGUAUUCGCCCGGCUCAAAGUUCUCGAGCUGGUUGGCAUCCACCUAUAUGGCCAGUGCAGUCUCGGCGACGCUCUCUCCUCCCCGCGGUGCCCAUCCUUGCAGAUUCUCAGUGUCAAGAAUGCUCGUGGUCUGGGCAACUUCACAAUUCAUUCCAAGUCCCUCCUAGAACUGCAGCUAUUGAAACUACCUGACAUGCAGCAGCUCAUUGUCGGGGCACCGUCACUCCAAAUGUUAAGCAUCAUUGGUUGCUUUACCGAUGGGCUGAAUCCAAGUCAACCAGUUGCCAACAUCUCAGCCCCUCGCCUGGAGUUGCUCUGGUGGACGUGUGAUUUUGUUCCCAGCUCUCUCCAGCUUGGGGAGAUGGCACAUCUUCGAUGUCUUGUCACUGGAAAUUUCUUUGUCCAUGGACCAAUUUCCUGUGCUCUACAAAAUCGCUGUUGCAUGAGCAUUCUGCAGCACUUUGAGCGUCUCAGUAUUCUCAAUCUCCAUAUUAUCUAUCCGCCGGUCAUUGGUAAUACGGAAUACUUGAUGGAAGAUAUGACAAGUCUUCCCGACGUUAUAAUGUUGACCCUGGAUGUAACUGCAUAUGUACAUUCAUUUGGAGCCAGCGUAUUCCAUGUUCUCAGGAUGUGCCCUUGUUUAAAAGUACUCAGUAUUGGAUUUCCUAUUAAAUCUAGCCAACUGGAGAAUGAAAGUUUUUCGUACUGGAUUUCAGCAAAGAUUUCAAUGAGAUUACAACUAGGAUUUAAAACACCAUUUCAACUACGGGCUCUUCCUUCAUUUGGAAGUGACCUCGCAGGUGGGGAUGCCUUGGCUGCCGCGAUUUCUGCGGCCACGCGGUGGACAAACACCCAUGCAUCCUUGAUGCAGGAGAAGGCCACAUUUCUGAACACCGGUGUGAGCGCUGCGUCCAUUUCUGCCUUGCAGGAUGACCUGGCCUGUGCCGUGGUGACGUGCCAUUGGAUAAUUUUGUCAUGA
rnacentral:rRNA from 1 species